GGACAGGAAGAUGGUUGGCGACCUGACUGGGGCCCAGGCCUAUGCCUCCACCGCCAAGUGCCUGAACAUCUGGGCCCUGAUUUUGGGCAUCCUCAUGACCAUUCUGCUCAUUGUCGUCCCAGUAUUGAUCUUCCAAGCCCAUCAAUAGGUCAGGAGACAUCAUUCAGGCCAGGAGCUCUGCCCAUAACCUGUGUCCCACGUGCUCCACCUUCCAUUCCUCGCCCUGCCCCCAGAGCCGAGUUCUGUAUCAGCCCUUUAUCCUCACACACUUUUCUACAAUGGCAUUCAAUAAAGUGCACAUGUUUCUGGUGCUGCUGUGACUUCACCUGGGGAGGAGUCCUGCUCUGGGUCCUGAGCGUGGAUCUGAGACCUAGCAGUGUGGUCAGCCCCUGCACUGCCCCUUCUGGCCUCUGCAGCUCUUGGGGACCGGGCAAGUGCUCAGGCCUUCUGGUUUCCGGCCUCCUGCUGUGGGCAGCAGCUGGAUCCAGGGCCCUGGGAGGAGUUCCUGUGUCCUGGAAGUCUCAGCUCCGACUCAAGGUAGGCUCUUUUCGGGAACGUCAGUGCUGAGUCAGGGACACCCUGGGCCCAAGGAUACUCUCUUGGCCUGUGAGCAAUCCAGGCUGUCGGCUGAGGACAGAGGGAAGGGCUUGAGCCCCCAGCAGGGCCAGGAAGGGGCAAGGUGGCACCGGCUCCCCAGCUGCUCCCAGGCCCUGCUCUGUGGUGCUGGGGGCCUGGCUUUAGUUCCUCGGGGUGGAGGGAGCACCGAGCUGUCUGGAGCAGCCAGUCCUGCACAUGUGGGCGGCUCAGGCCCCGUGGGAGGGAGGGGGCUUUGUGCCCAGGGCAGCAGCUGAAGGAGCCCCGGGCCUCGUAGGCCCUCCUGGGUGACCCAGGUGCUGCUUCGUGGCAACUGCCGCCUCCAGUCCAGGGGGCAUCGUCCCUGCUCCCCCGCGGUGGGGGCGGCACAGGAGCAGUGGAGCUGCCCUCAUGCAAGUUCCCUCCACCCGGGUCUGGCCCCUGGACAGACUCCCCCGCCCCGACCUGGUUACAGCGCCCUUCCCCCGUUCGGUCUCCGGUGUGGGCGUCUGGGGUGCCCCGUGGGCGGCCGCGGGAGGAGCUGGGGUGGCCACGCGCGCCCGCCCCGCCGUCCGCCCCCGGCGCCAGGUCUGGAUCUACUCCCCGUCCCCUCCCGUGCCCGCCCCAGACCCGGAGCCGCGCUCUCGGCCCAGGGGUCCAGGCGCCCUCUCCCCUCGGGGUCUCCCGGAGCUGAGUUCCGAAGGGGGCGAACUCCGAAGUGGGCCCGGGUGGGGGGCGCGGCCCCGCCGGGCGGGGAGGGAGAAGCGGCGGAGGCGGGAGCUCAGCGGCGCCCCUGGCGGCGGCCGGCGCAGGUGCAGGUCCCGGGGGAGGCUCCGCCCGCAGCCCGGACCCCGGGGGGUGCGCGGGACGCGGACCCGGAGACCCGCAGCGCCUGCCGAGCACGGGCGUCCCUCUCCUCCCCCUCGGGCACGUCCCCGGCCGAGCCUUCCGGCCCCGCUCUGGGGCUCCCACCUCCCCUUCACCCGCGGGGGGCCCGAUUUCCGCGUCUCCGGGGCCCCUCCCUGGGCCGGGGCUCCAGCUGAAUCCAGGAGGGACCUGUGGGAGGACUUGGUGGUCCGGGAAUCACCCCGGGAGCCCGGUCCUGUGACCCCACAAUGGGUUCUCUUUGCGCUCCGGGACAGAGCCCGUGGGUCGCAUCGGGGCAGGGGACUUGCAAUAAGGAAAGUGGAAUUCGCGCAGAGCCGGCUGCAGGGGAGACCCGAGUUUUGUUAUUACUCAAAUCCGUCUCCCCCAAAACGUGGGGAUCCGCGUUUGGAAGGAUGAUUUGGUGGGUAGGCGGCCAGUGAGUCAGGAGUGCUGACCGGGCCGGUUGGAGAUGAAGCCUUGGGGAGUCCAAGCUGUCUUCCCAACCCUAACCCAGUUCCUGGGUAGGGGCCACAGGACCAGCGGAGCCAGACUGGGGGUCUGGGUGGUGGCAGCUGAUCCACUGAGUGCGGGGUCUGUAAAGUAUCUCAAACUCUGAUCCUAGGUUCCACAGUCGUGCUGUGAUCCUCGGGAGCAACUUGGGGGCUGGCGGGGUCAGAAUCUUCCAUCCUCCAGCUGCGUGACUCCUAAACCAUCAUUUCUAAUCGUGCGGCGAAUGUGUUAGUCCUGCAAAGGCAAACUAGUCCCCAGGCAGGAAGGGGGCUUGUUCAGCCUUCAUCGAUAAACGCUUCUCCCCAGAUCAGUUUAGGCGAAGCCCAGGGAUGAGCAAGGACAGCUUGGAGGUUAGGAGCCAGACGGAGUCGGUUAGGUCAGACCUCCUUCACUGUCGUGAUGACUUUGGAAAGGGUGGUUUCAUUUCCAUGCCUGCCCCUCAGAAUCCUGCCUCCCUCUUGUGCCCUGCAGUGUCUUCCUCCUUAAACUGCAAAACACCUUCCACAGGAAAUUGAAGCCGCACCCCACUCUGCAGUCACGUGUGGCCUUUGAUAGGAGGUCACGAAGCCUUGCAGGGAGUUUGUUUAGGCAGCCCUGGAUGUCUCAGAGCAAGCUCCAUCCGCAUCCACCCCUGGCUUGCCGGUCUAAGUGGCCUGGGAUGUGGUUGGGGCUGGCAGUGGCCUGUUGGGGAUUGGGUGGAGGGUGGCGGGGUUGGUGUGCGAUUUGGGGAGGCCCAGCAGUGACUCCAAGCAAGGGCGAGGGCGAGUUCUUUUUUUUUUUUUUUUUUGGCUGCAAUGGGUAGGGAGGGGCUGAUGGUUUUGGAGCUCAGUUUUUGAGAUGGAAGUCUGCUAAUGCUCCCGUCUGAAUAAAGGCCAAAUAAAGCACUUUCCUUCCGCUA